rnacentral:rRNA from 1 species
AUUUAACGCUGGCGGCAGGCUUAACACAUGCAAUUCGAGCGAGCGGCGGACGGGUGAGUAAUGUCUGGGAAACUGCCUGAUGGAGGGGGAUAACUACUGGAAACGGUAGCUAAUACCGCAUACCAUCAGAUGGGCCCAGAUGGGAUUAGCUAGUAGGUGGGGUAAUGGCUCACCAAGGCGACGAUCCCUAGCUGGUCUGAGAGGAUGACCAGCCACACGGGAACUGAGCAACGGUCCAGACUCCUACGGGAGGCAGCAGUGGGGAAUAGUGCACAAUGGGCGAAAGCCUGAUGCAGCAAUGCCGCGUGUGUGAAGAAGGCCUUCGGGUUGUAAAGCACUUUCAGCGAGGAGGCGUUACUCGCAGAAGAAGCACCGGCUAAAUAAGUGAAAGCAGCCGCGGUAAUAC